GGAGGCAGCAGUAGGGAAUCUUCCGCAAGGGACAAAAGUCUGACGGAGCAACGCCGCGUGAGUGACAAAGGCCUUCGGGUCGUAAAGCUCUGUUGUUAGGGAAAAACAAGUACCGUUCGAAUAGGGCGGUACCUUGACGGUACCUAACCAAAAAGCCACGGCUAACUACUUGCCACCAGCCGCGGUAAUACGUAGGUGGCAAGCGUUGUCCGGAAUUAUUGGGCGUAAAGCGCGCGCAGGCGGUCUUUUAAGUCUGAUGUGAAAGCCCACGGCUCAACCGUGGAGGG
rnacentral:rRNA from 1 species